GACGAACGCUGGCGGCGUGCCUAAUACAUGCAAGUCGAACGCAGUGGGGACGGGUGCGUAACACGUGGGUAACCUCCCAUCAGAGGGGAUAACCCUUGGAAACUGGUGCUAAACCGAUACUGAUGGAUGGACCCGCGGGGCAUUAGCUAGUUGGUGAGGUAACGGCUCACCAAGGCCACGAUGCAUAGCCGACCUGAGAGGGUGAUCGGCCACACUGGGACUGAGACACGGCCCAGACUCCUACGGGAGGCAGCAGUGGGGAAUCUUGGGAAAUGGACGAAAGUCUGACAGAGCAAUGCCGCGUGAGUGAAGAAGGUGUUCGGAUCGUAAAACUCUGUUGUUGGAGAGGCGGUAUCUAACCAGAAAGCCACGGCUAACUACGUGCCAGCAGCCGCGGUAAUUC
rnacentral:rRNA from 1 species